rnacentral:tRNA from 1 species
GGGCGGUUAGCUCAGCUGGUUAGAGUACUUGCUCGACACGCAAGGGGUCAUAGGUUCAAAUCCUAUACCGCCCA